AGUUAGGGGUAAAAGACAAAGUUGUCAAAAAAGGGUCCAAAUUAAAAAAAAAAAAAAAAGUUCUAAAGGUUUAGAAAUGCCAAUUUCAAUCAGCUCUUCUUCUUCAGCCAGUUCCCAAACUCAGAGCACAAAUUCACCAGAAAAUCACCUUAUAUCGGGGGCCACAACAACCGAUACACACUCCGCUGCCGAUGGAAAACCCUAAAUCAAAGGCCGCCAGCACUUCCACCGCCGGAACCUGUCCAUCAUACAAGAAAUACGAGAUCCGCCACAGACUCCCAAAUCCAAAAAUCGCCGCUCUCUUAGUGAUCGACAUGCAGAACUACUUCUCCUCCAUGGCCAACCCCAUCUUCCCCAAUCUCCUCACUACCAUCCGCCUUUGCCGCGCCGCUUCCAUUCCUGUCAUCUUCACCCGCCACGCCCACACCUCUGCCUCCGACAACCCCAUCCUCAGCGAGUGGUGGAACGGCGACAUCAUCCUCGACGGAACCCCCGCCGCCGACCUCAUUUCCAAUCUCGACCGGCUGGAUACCGAUGAGGUCAUCCGGAAGAACACUUACAGCGCGUUCCGGAACACGCGCCUAGAGGACUGCCUGAAAGAGAAGGGCGUGGAAGAGGUGAUCGUGACAGGGGUUAUGACCAACAUUUGCUGUGAGACGACGGCGCGUGAGGCGUUUGUGAGAGGGUAUAGAGUGUUCUUCUCCACCGAUGCGACGGCGACGGUGAACUUGGAGCUACAUGAGGCUACGUUGAAGACUCUGGCUUAUGGGUUCGCUUACUUGGUGGAUUGCCAGAGGCUUCGAGAGCUUUCUGCCAUGGAGAAAACUGGGAAACCAUGUAAUAAUUCUGAAGUUGUUGAUCUGGAAGAUGAUAGAGAGGCUAGGAUUGACCCUCAACUUGGAAUUGUGGAGCCAGUGAUUGGGAUGAUGUUUAGUUCUAUCGAGGAAACGUAUCAGUUCUAAGUCAAUUAUGCAGCAAAAGUUGGUUUUACCGUUAGCAAACAAUACCACAAAAAGAAAAAGAAUGGAGUUGUUUCAAGAGCUGCCUUUUGUUGCUCAAGAGAAGGGUUUCGUCAAGUAGACAAGAGAAAAGAAUUUGUUUAUUUUACUCGGCCAAGUUCAAGGACAGGAUGUGAAGCUUCAUUGGCAUGCUUGCUUGGAAAGAACGGUCAAUACAAAGUUGUGUCUUUUAAAGAAAAUCACAAUCACGACCUUGGUAAAACAACGAUGAAGCAUACUUUAAACGUUGAUAAGAGCAUUUCCAAUGCUCAAAAAGUUCAUGUUGCAGAUAGUUCAAGAACUUCAUUUAGAGCAACUAUGGAACUAAUGAAUAACGAGGUGGGUGGUAGAGAACGUAUGAGAUUUGUGGAUGGAGAUUACAUAAAUUAUAUACCCAUAGAGAAAUAAUCAAGAAUUGAAAAGGGAGAAGUUGAAGCACUUGCACAGUAUUUUGAGAAAAAAACAGAUGGAAAACUCUUCUAUUUUUUAUGCAUCGCAACUCGAUGAAAAUAACAUGGUCGCUAAUAUCUUUUGGACCGAUGCACGUUCUGUGUAUGAUUAUGAGUGUUUUGGAGAUGUCAUUUGUUUUGACACUACAUGUCAUUUGUUUUGAGUGAACUUGGUCGACCUUUUACUCCAUUCUUUGGAGUCAAUCAUCAUAAACAAUCGGUGAUAUUUGGUGCUGCUUUACUUUAUGAUGAAACAAUUGAGUCUCUUAAAUGGUUGUUUAAUACUUUUCUUGGUGUAAUGUCUGGAAAGCAACCGGAGACAAUUCUUACGAAUCAAUUUACAAUAAUAGCUAAAGCAAUAUGUGAUGUCUUUCCUGAAGCUCAACAUCGACUAUGUGUUUGGCAUAUUUUUCAAAGUGCUGCUAAGACCUUGAGUCGUGUUUUAUGGACCAAAUCAGUUUGUUCACGACUUUAGCAGUUGUUUAUUUGAUUAUGAAAAUGAAGAUGAUUGGUUGUUAGCAUGGCAAAAAAUGUUAGAUAAAUAUGCUCUUAGAGAUAACAAGUGGUUGACAUAUUUGUUUGAAUUGCGUGAAAAAUGGGCAAUAGUAUAUGGGCGACAUACUUUUACACCUGACAUGAAAAGUACACUACGAAUGAGGUAUUGAAAAAAUAUUUAAGGCCUGAUUAUGACAUUUUGCAAUUCCUUCUACAAUAUGAUAGUUUUUUAGCAGAUCGAAGAGGUGAGGAAAUGGUUGCGGAUUUUAAGAUUAAUCAUACGACACCUAUCUUGAUAAUGGAUACAGGAAUGUCACUACAUGUGGUAGACAUUUACACUCCAGCAAUGUUUAAAUUGUUUGAAAAAGAAUAUAUCAAUAUUCUUAGUUGUAGUAUCUACAAGAUUGGUAAGUUUGACGGCGUAUCAGAGUAUAAAGUAUUAUUUCAUGGAAGCUCUUGUCAUUGGUUAGUUAAAUAUGAGGCUUAAACACAAAUAGUCACUUGUAGUUGCAUGAAAUUCAUUUCCACUGGGAUUCUAUGUAGUCACGCUCUUAAGGUACUUGAUAGGAAGAAUGUGAAAAAGCUUCCUACUUCAUAUAUUUUGAAAAGAUGGACAAAAGAUGCAAGAGCUUCAGAUAGUCAAAUGCUCAAGGUUUGUGGAAAGUCAACUGGAGAGCGUUAUAAUCACCUGUGUCAUAAAUUGCCGCAGAACAUGAAAAGUUGUUUGAGCAUGCUUCUCAAAAUUUUGUUCAAUUGCCCAAAGAUUUAGAGGAGAUGAAGAAAAAUAUCUUCUGUGGAAAAUAAUCAUGUAAAAGGAUGUAGGAGAUUUGAGUUCUCAUCGAAAAUGGUUCAAGAACGGGGAAAAGGACAACAUAUACAAGAGCAUUGAAUCAAGAGAGAGUCUAUAGUUGGUUGCUUAGUUGAAAAGAAGAGAUACAAACAAAAUUUGAAGCUGAACUAAACUUUUCUUCAAAUUACACAACAUUCAAACAGGAAAAUAGUAAAAAGUAUUUUGGAGGAAGAUACACGGGGAAAAGUAUGAACGAUAGUUUGAAUCUCAUUACAUCCGCGAAGGUUCUUUCGUAAUGGGUGUUAACACUACUGAUCGAAUACAGACGCAUUCUUCCUUGUCUAGAGGUUGCAGUGUGUAUUCUCUACGAGGAGGCGUAUGAAGAUCUAGAUCAUUUGUUGUGGCGGAGUGAAUUUCCUUGUUUGUUUUGGAACUGCCUAAUCAAAGUUUUUGGGUUGAGCUUGAGCUUGACAUAGAAUUGCUGCCACUUUCUGAUAAGGGAAGGACUUUGGAGUGGAGUAUUUGGUUCGAGAGGAACGGUAGAAUCUUGAGAGGUAUUGCCACAACGUUUCGUUCUUUGUUAGGUUUAAUGCUUUGGACGUGUCUAAAGACUUGCAAUUCUUCGUUAGGGCUUAUUGUGUCUCCUUUUUGUGUAACUGGGUUGAUUUAAACCUACAAUUUGUUAUGUGGUGUUCACUUACAUAUUUCAUUAAAACCUAACCAUAGUAUUAAAUUUUCGUCGAAUUAUCAAUAUUUCCACAUUUUCAUCAAUCUGUCACAUUUAUUGUUACCGUUAUCCUUAUCGUUACUGUUAGGGUCAAACAACGAUAACGUAAAAUGUGACAGAUUC